GUUGUUAGGGAAGAACAAAUUUGUUAGUAACUGAACAAGUCUUGACGGUACCUAACCAGAAAGCCACGGCUAACUACGUGCCAGCAGCCGCGGUAAUACGUAGGUGGCAAGCGUUAUCCGGAAUUAUUGGGCGUAAAGCGCGCGUAGGCGGUUUCUUAAGUCUGAUGUGAAAGCCCACGGCUCAACCGUGGAGGGUCAUUGGAAACUGGGAAACUUGAGUGCAGAAGAGGAGAGUGGAAUUCCAUGUGUAGCGGUGAAAUGCGCAGAGAUAUGGAGGAACACCAGUGGCGAAGGCGGCUCUCUGGUCUGUAACUGACGCUGAUGUGCGAAAGCGUGGGGAUCAAACAGGAUUAGAUACCCUGGUAGUCCACGCCGUAAACGAUGAGUGCUAAGUGUUAGGGGGUUUCCGCCCCUUAGUGCUGCAGCUAACGCAUUAAGCACUCCGCCUGGGGAGUACGACCGCAAGGUUGAAACUCAAAGGAAUUGACGGGGACCC
rnacentral:rRNA from 1 species